rnacentral:rRNA from 1 species
UUCCUACGGGUGGCUGCAGUGGGGAAUAUUGCACAAUGGGCGCAAGCCUGAUGCAGCGACGCCGCGUGAGGGAUGAAGGCCUUCGGGUUGUAAACCUCUUUCAGCAGGGAAGAAGCGCAAGUGACGGUACCUGCAGAAGAAGCGCCGGCUAACUACGUGCCAGCAGCCGCGGUAAUACGUAGGGCGCAAGCGUUGUCCGGAAUUAUUGGGCGUAAAGAGCUCGUAGGCGGUUUGUCGCGUCUGCUGUGAAAACGCGAGGCUCAACCUCGCGCCUGCAGUGGGUACGGGCAGACUAGAGUGCGGUAGGGGAGACUGGAAUUCCUGGUGUAGCGGUGGAAUGCGCAGAUAUCAGGAGGAACACCGGUGGCGAAGGCGGGUCUCUGGGCCGUAACUGACGCUGAGGAGCGAAAGCAUGGGGAGCGAACAGGAUUAGAUACCCCUGUAGUCGG